rnacentral:rRNA from 1 species
GAAAGUAAAGAAGGGCGUAUGGCGGAUGCCUAGGCUCUCGGAGGCGAAGAAGGACGUGAUAAGCUGCGAUAAGCUGCGGCGAGGAGCAAAUAUCCUGUGACCCGCAGAUUUCCGAAUGGGGCAACCCGGCAGGACCACCUGUCAUCCCGGGAAACGGGAAGCAAACGUGGGGAACUGAAACAUCUCAUUACCCACAGGAAAAGAAAAUAACAAUGAUUCCGUCAGUAGUGGCGAGCGAAAGCGGAAGAGCCCAAACCGGUUCUGUUUCGGCAGAGCCGGGGUAGAAGGACUGCAUACGACAAAGGAGCAGGUAGCCGAACGGUCUGGAAAGGCCGGUCAAAGACGGUGAUAACCCGGUAGGCGAAACCAGCGACAGCGACAGCAGUAUCCUGAGUAGUGCGGGACACGAGAAAUCCUGUAUGAAUCCGCGGGGACCAUCCCGUAAGGCUAAAUACUCCCGAGAGACCGAUAGCGAACCAGUACUGUGAAGGAAAGGUGAAAAGAACCUCGAACAGAGGAGUGAAAAAGACCCUGAAACCAUACGCCUACAAGCGGUCGGAGCCCCUACGUGGGGUGACGGCGUGCCUUUUGCAUAAUGAACCUACGAGUUACUUUUGCCAGCCAGGUUAAUCGAUUCAGUCGAGGAGCCGAAGCGAAAGCGAGUCUUAAUAGGGCGGUAUAAGUUGGCAGGAGUAGACGCGAAACCAAGUGAUCUACCCAUGAGCAGGUUGAAGGUUAGGUAACACUAACUGGAGGACCGCACCGGUAAACGUUGAAAAGUUUUCGGAUGACUUGUGGGUAGGGGUGAAAGGCUAAUCAAACUUGGAGAUAGCUCGUACUCCCCGAAAUGCAUUUAGGUGCAGCCUUCUGAAUAUAUUUAAGAGGUAGAGCGACUGAUAAGAUGCGAGGGCUUCACCGCCUAUCAAGUCUUGAUAAACUCCGAAUGCUUAAAUAUGAAUCAGAGGAGUGAGGGCAUGGGUGCUAAGGUCCAUGUCCGAGAGGGAAAUAACCCAGACCACCGGCUAAGGUCCCGAAAUAACGGCUAAGUUGAAUUAACGAAGUAGAAUUGCAAAGACAGCUAGGAUGUUGGCUUGGAAGCAGCCAUUCAUUUAAAGAGUGCGUAACAGCUCACUAGUCGAGGAGUUCUGCGUGGAUAAUAAUCGGGCAUAAGCCGUUUACCGAAGCUGUGGAAUUGGCAACAAUUGGUAGGGGAGCAUUCCAUAAGCCGCAGAAGGUUUUCCUUGAGGAAUGCUGGAGGUGAUGGAAAAGCAAAUGUAGGUAUAAGUAACGAUAAAGAGGGCGAGAACCCCUCUCGCCGAAAGACCAAGGGUUCCUGAUCAACGCUAAUCGGAUCAGGGUAAGUCGGGCCCUAAGGCGCAGCCGAACGGCGCAGCCGAUGGCAGAAACGGUUAAUAUUCCGUUACUAUGAUACGGAGUGACGAGGAGACGGAGAAGUGACACUCUCGCCUGCUGACGGAAUAGCAGGUUGAACGGAGUAGAUAAUGACAUGGUAGGCAAAUCCGCCGUGACAGUCGAACCGGAUAGUACUGGGCGCCCCCGGGCAACCAGAUAGCAGAGGUAAUCAGGCUCCCGAGAAAAUCCCCUAAACAUAUGCGUAUCAUACCCGUACCCUAAACGGACACACGUGGUUGAGUAGAAAAUACUAAGGCGCUCGAGCGACUCACGGUUAAGGAACUAGGCAAAUUGACCCUGUAACUUCGGGACAAAGGGUCCCUCCCUCCGGGGAGGGCGCAGAGAAUAGGUCCAGGCAACUGUUUAACAAAAACACAGGGCUGUGCGAAAUUGAAAGAUGAAGUAUACAGCCUGACACCUGCCCGGUGCUGGAAGGUUAAGAGGAGAUGUCAUCGCAAGAGAAGCGUUGAAUUGAAGCCCCAGUAAACGGCGGCCGUAACUAUAACGGUCCUAAGGUAGCGAAAUUCCUUGUC